rnacentral:rRNA from 1 species
AGAUUAAGUUAUUAAGGGCGCACGGUGGAUGCCUUGGCACUAGAAGCCGAUGAAGGACGUUACUAACGACGAUAUGCUUUGGGGAGCUGUAAGUAAGCUUUGAUCCAGAGAUUUCCGAAUGGGGAAACCCAGCAUGAGUUAUGUCAUGUUAUCGAUAUGUGAAUACAUAGCAUAUCAGAAGGCACACCCGGAGAACUGAAACAUCUUAGUACCCGGAGGAAGAGAAAGAAAAUUCGAUUCCCUUAGUAGCGGCGAGCGAAACGGGAAGAGCCCAAACCAACAAGCUUGCUUGUUGGGGUUGUAGGACACUCUGUACGGAGUUACAAAGGACGACAUUAGACGAAUCAUCUGGAAAGAUGAAUCAAAGAAGGUAAUAAUCCUGUAGUCGAAAAUGUUGUCUCUCUUGAGUGGAUCCUGAGUACGACGGAGCACGUGAAAUUCCGUCGGAAUCUGGGAGGACCAUCUCCUAAGGCUAAAUACUCUCUAGUGACCGAUAGUGAACCAGUACCGUGAGGGAAAGGUGAAAAGCACCCCGGAAGGGGAGUGAAAUAGAACCUGAAACCGUGUGCUUACAAGUAGUCAGAGCCCGUUAAUGGGUGAUGGCGUGCCUUUUGUAGAAUGAACCGGCGAGUUACGAUUUGAUGCAAGGUUAAGCAGUAAAUGUGGAGCCGUAGCGAAAGCGAGUCUGAAUAGGGCGUUUAGUAUUUGGUCGUAGACCCGAAACCAGGUGAUCUACCCUUGGUCAGGUUGAAGUUCAGGUAACACUGAAUGGAGGACCGAACCGACUUACGUUGAAAAGUGAGCGGAUGAACUGAGGGUAGCGGAGAAAUUCCAAUCGAACCUGGAGAUAGCUGGUUCUCUCCGAAAUAGCUUUAGGGCUAGCCUCAAGUGAUGAUUAUUGGAGGUAGAGCACUGUUUGGACGAGGGGCCCCUCUCGGGUUACCGAAUUCAGACAAACUCCGAAUGCCAAUUAAUUUAACUUGGGAGUCAGAACAUGGGUGAUAAGGUCCGUGUUCGAAAGGGAAACAGCCCAGACCACCAGCUAAGGUCCCAAAAUAUAUGUUAAGUGGAAAAGGAUGUGGCGUUGCCCAGACAACUAGGAUGUUGGCUUAGAAGCAGCCAUCAUUUAAAGAGUGCGUAAUAGCUCACUAGUCGAGUGACACUGCGCCGAAAAUGUACCGGGGCUAAACAUAUUACCGAAGCUGUGGAUUGUCCUUUGGACAAUGGUAGGAGAGCGUUCUAAGGGCGUUGAAGCAUGAUCGUAAGGACAUGUGGAGCGCUUAGAAGUGAGAAUGCCGGUGUGAGUAGCGAAAGACGGGUGAGAAUCCCGUCCACCGAUUGACUAAGGUUUCCAGAGGAAGGCUCGUCCGCUCUGGGUUAGUCGGGUCCUAAGCUGAGGCCGACAGGCGUAGGCGAUGGAUAACAGGUUGAUAUUCCUGUACCACCUAUAAUCGUUUUAAUCGAUGGGGGGACGCAGUAGGAUAGGCGAAGCGUGCGAUUGGAUUGCACGUCUAAGCAGUAAGGCUGAGUAUUAGGCAAAUCCGGUACUCGUUAAGGCUGAGCUGUGAUGGGGAGAAGACAUUG